rnacentral:lncRNA from 1 species
CUAGGAACGCCGCUUCUGGGUGAGCAUUUUCUUCUUUGCUUAUGGCCUUAUAGAGUUGGUUGAGAGCGGUCUUAGUGCCAGCUUCACUUUGUGGUGGUAAAUAGACGGCUACGAAUAAUACAGAUGAGAACUCUCUUGGCAGAUAGUGUGGUCGACAGCUUAUCAUAAGGUACUCUACCUCAGGCGAGCAAUUCCUCGAGACUUCUUUAAUAUUAAACAUCACACACCAGCUGUUAUUGACAAAAAGACACACACCCCCACCCCUCGUCUUAUGAGAGGCAGUGUCUCUGUUCUGCCGGUGCAUGGAAAAUCCCACCAGCUCUAUAUUGUCCGUUUCUUCGUUCAGACACAUGUGAAACAUAAGAUGUUACAGUUUUUAAUGUCCCGUUGGUAGGAUAAUCUUAAUAGUAUGUCAAUCUUAUUUUCUAACGAUUGCACAUUAGCAAGGAGAAUGGAAGGCAUUGGGAGUUUACUCGCUCUCUUCCGGCUUCUCAGAAAUAUCCCCGAUCUGCGUCCCCUUUUCUUCACGCAAAAGGCGUGGAUCUGGGCCUGAUCCAGUGAAAGCAGGAUAUCCUUGUUGUCAGACUCGUUAAAGGAAAAAGUUUCUUCCGGUCCGCAGUGCGUAAUUGCUUUUCUGAUGUCCAGAAGUUAUUUACUCUACUCCUCACAUUCUGAUCAUCAACCAACAACAAUAUAUAAACACACACACCAUUAGAAACUGUUUUUCCUCUCUCACCAUUGUGAGAUUUGGGGAUGGGUCUCAAACAACCAGCCAUGUCUGGGAACACACAGUAUGACAGAGAGUUAGAGAAAAUGAAUACAGCAGGGAUGCAAACUGGUGAGGGCCCAAAAAGGUGACACUUUUUUUGCACUGAAACAUUUUAAAAAAUCCCUUCUAGGGAGAAAUGCAGGUUUUAACUAAUUAAACAACAAAGAAUAUGAUCAACAUGAUCAGUCUCUGUUUUAAAAUCUAGUGGUUAAUGUGAACCUAACUCACAGCUAAAAAAUGUAAAGAAAGCAAUCCAAUGUUAUUUGUUGCCUAGACUUUACUGCAAAUGUCACUUAAGUCUUGAGAAAAAAAAACGAUACACUAAUAUUGCAGUUAGCCAUGACAGCCUUUAUAAUAGAAUGCUUGUGACCACACACAAAUAUUGCACUUGGGAAAAAAAUACUAUUUUUUCUCUAUUAUAUAUAUAUACACACUAUACUAUAGACAUCGAUCAUGUGCACAAGGCUACAUGUGUGCAAAAAUAACAUUCACUGAAUUUAAAAAAAAGAUAAUCCCCCUCACUCUCACACGUGUUAAUGUCAAGUUCAACACAACAAAACAAUAUCUUUGGGCUACACUGCAAAUUAUACACUUUCUGCCUGUGGACAUCUGUUCUACAAUGUGCCAGUAAAAGUGAGAAAGAGGGAAAGUGUGUAGUGUUCCUUUCACAUCUAUAGUGGCAUCCAGUUUAAGCCAGGCCCAGCACUAGCUCCACUUGAUCCCUGAAUCCACUUGUUUAAGAAGCAACGCCUCAUUUUCACCUAAUUCUCUCAUUCCGAAAAUAAACCACAUACUGUAGAGGGGAAACAUUAGUUAACAGAUAGUGGUUUGUUCGUUAGCUAGUUAACAUUUCACACAGAUUGCCAGGGUGCAGUAUGCAACUAACGCUUUAUAACUUGAACGGCAAGGACUCGUAUACCAGCUAAUAGUAUAGCCAAUUGGUUAGGUUACUAAUGUUAGCUCAUCUGAUAUUGUAAGGUUAGCUAGCUAACGUUAGCUGUCUGACUUUAUUAGCAAGCUAAUUCUCACACCAUAAACUCUAUUAUUUGAUCAGAUGAGUUGGCUUAUGUUGCUCAAUACUUCUCUGGCUAGCUAACGGAGAAUUCAAACCAGCUAGCAAGAUACUUAACAAUCCACACCUUCUCCCCCACCUCAAAUUUUCCAAAUGCCAGUUGUUUUUCGGUUACAGAUCAUGAAGUAUGCUUCAUCACCUUCUCACCCCCGUCUCCGUGGUCAGGCUUCUCACCUAACGUUACCUCUUCGUUAUCGUUCAGGGGACGUGCUGCUGUAACUGGCUUUCUACUCAAUGUGGUCUUUCCAGAGUGCAUGCUGACGCUGUAACUAACAAGUUGGUUAUCUCUUCUCUCUUCAGUCGCUUGCUGCGCUGCAUUAUGUUGUUAUGUAAACGAUAGCUGAGCCUUGGAUACAGCCAGUUUUGCUCCAAACGCGCAUCACACGUUCGCUUACAGCCACUAGUGAUCCAACCCCCCUCCCAAACUUUUUUCAUUGGAUCUACACGAAUCACGUACGUCACCUAUUUUGGAUUCAAAACGGGGAAUUUCGCCGAAAGGUGACUAGUUUGCAUCUGUUGGGUUAUAUUUUCUUAAACUAGUUCUAGUUGUGGUGCAUAGCUUAUGCAUACAUUAAUGUUAAACAUAACAGGUUUGUGCUGUGCUGACAUAGAUUGAGCAACAUAAUAAAAUGUGACUAAUGGGGGGGUUACUACGGUGUAGGCUGAGUUAGACUCUGAUAGAGGGGAGAAUAACUGUAGCAUAAAAACAGGCACUGUCCUUGGGUGUCUGACUCUCGGGUACACACACAAAGAUAAGCUGGAAGACAACUACGCUUGGCAACAGUGAUGCGCCAAGAGGCUGGGACCAGCCUGUGCGCCUGCGAUAGGCUGAGCAAGUCUAAACCACGCUCAGCCUCUACUCUGACAGGCCCGCUCUGAGCGGGAACUAUCUCUGUCAGAGUAUUAAAAAAUUACUUUGAGUUUGAACUGUCAGUUCUCUGUUUGCCCUGAGAGGUGUUACAGUGAACCCAUACAUACGAAGAUUGCAUUUACCAUUUAUUCACCUGACUAAUUAUAUUGAAUAAAAAAGCAGAGAAUAUAUUCAGUGACUUAGUGUUAAAUUCUGUUCUGAUACCCGAUUCGAUUGACGCAACCUAACACAUCCCUGAUAAAGAUUCAUUCAACCACCUCCUUCCCAAGGUCUAAUCAUAUUUGUUACUCUCAAUCUCUACUCCUCAUAUUCUGAUCAUCAUGCUUAAACCAAACACACACGCUGUUAGAAAUUGUGUUUCCUCUCUCACCAUUGUGAGUUUUGGAGAUGGGUUUGGAUCCACUAGCCAUGAUGUCUGGGAACACACAAA